rnacentral:rRNA from 1 species
UAAUUCGAUGCUACGCGUAGACCCUUACCUGGCCUUGACAUCCUCGGAACUUGUCAGAGAUGACUUGGUGCCUUUGGGAACCGAGUGACAGGUGCUGCAUGGCUGUCGUCAGCUCCGUGUCGUGAGAUGUUUGGGUUUAGUCCCGCAACGAGCGCAACCCUUGUCCCUAGUUGCCAGCACUUCGGGUGGGUACUCUUAGGGAGACCGCCGGUGACAAACCGGAGGAAGGUGGGGAUGACGUCAAGUCAUCAUGGCCCUUAUGGCCGGGGCUACACACGUGCUACAAUGGACAGUACAGAGGGUUGCCAACCCGCGAGGGGGAGCCAAUCCCAGAAAGCUGUUCGUAGUCCGGAUCGGAGUCUGCAACUCGACUCCGUGAAGUCGGAAUCGCUAGUAAUCGCGAAUCAGCAUUGUCGCGGUGAUACGUUCCCGGGUCUUGUACACACCGCCCGUCACACCAUGGAAGUUGGUUGCACCAGAAGUAGGUAGCCUAACCCUCGGGAGGGCGCUUACCACGGUGUGGC